rnacentral:lncRNA from 1 species
UAGAUGUAUUACAUUCUGACUGGUGAAUGUUGGGACUAGACAAAGAUAUUACAUUCUGAUUGGUUAAUGUUGGGACUAGACAAUAGAUAUUACAUUCUGACUGGUUAAUGUUGGGACUCCCCCAGUAUUGCCCCUCCAGGUAUACCCUCCAGUAUUACCCUCCAGGUUAUAUCCCUCCAGGUAUUACCCCCAGGUAUUGUCCCUCCGGUAUUGUCCCUCCAGGUAUUGUCCCUCCAGGUAUUAACCCUCCAGGUAUAUCCUCGGGAUAUCCCCAGGUAUUCCCUCCAGGUAUUUACCUCCAGGUAAUAUCCCUCCAGGUAUUUCCUCCAGUAUUUCCCCUCCAGGUAUUGAAUGGUUCUCCUAUCGAUCAGGUUCUUGCCUAUAAAUAUCUGGGCAUUUGGAUGACACGGAUUUAACAUUUAACCCAUGAGGCGGCGCACAAUUGGCCCCAGCGUCUUCUGGUUAGGGGAGGUUUGGCCCGCGUCGUCCGGGUUAGGGGAGGGGU